UUUUAGAUCCUUGAGCGUGGUUGGGUUUCUGUGCUGCAUACCCAACCAAGGAAUCCGGUGCCUUACGAUGCCUUUUCACCCUACUUCGCUCGCGCGACGUGGGGCGACAUAGAGGCGUGCCCUGUUACCCACGGAAGUUGCGCUGACGCGCUUCUUUCGUGGGUCGCUGGUCGCGGCCGAUAUCGUGGAUACGGAACCUUGUGCGGGCAUGGAGUCUCGACUCCUAUUUGCCCAAAUAGAGUGUUCUCGCUUCUAACGAACGACGGUUGCUUCAGCGUCCGUCGUCCGACUAC
rnacentral:misc_RNA from 1 species